rnacentral:lncRNA from 1 species
UCGGUACAGCUCUAUACUCCCCCGUAAUUGACAGGAGAACACUUUAGAUGUAGCAUCCAGUUUCUUUAUCCACGUUAGGCCAAGUAACUGGCAAAGAUAGGAAGGGGCAAUCCGCUUGUAUAUAAGGUCUUGUAGACAAGGCAACUACACCUAUUGCUACUUUGAACUUCAUUCAACAACUACCUUAGCAAGCUAUAUCUUAUUCUUAUGUACUAGAUGCGGG